GGGUGAUUAGCUCAGUUGGUUUAGAGCGCUUGCUUGACAGGCAAGAGGUCAUCAGUUCGAAUCUGUUAUCGCCCA
rnacentral:tRNA from 1 species